rnacentral:misc_RNA from 1 species
UUUUGGCUGACAAAUUCUCUAGUUUAAGUGCAAAUUUGGCAGGUCUGAGCAAGCAGGCACAAAUUUAUAUACAACUUUCCAUGUUUUCAGGGAGACCUCGGUACUGUCAAAUUGUCACAUUGUUGCCAACCGGUUAAGCUGCCUUGUUCUGCAUUAUAUCCUUAUAUUGUCAAGUUUAUGCUAGAUCAACCACAUGUUCAGAUCACACAGCUUACUCUUUUAUUAG